rnacentral:rRNA from 1 species
CCUACGGGGGGCAGCAGUGGGGAAUAUUGGGCAAUGGGCGGGAGCCUGAACCAGCCAAGUCGCGUGAGGGACGACUGCCCUAUGGGUUGUAAACUUCUUUUAUAUGGGAAUAAAAUGUUCCACGUGUGGGAUUUUGUAUGUACCAUAUGAAUAAGGAUCGGCUAACUCCGUGCCAGCAGCCGCGGUAAUACGGAGGAUCCGAGCGUUAUCCGGAUUUAUUGGGUUUAAAGGGAGCGUAGGUGGAUUGUUAAGUCAGUUGUGAAAGUUUGCGGCUCAACCGUAAAAUUGCAGUUGAAACUGGCAGUCUUGAGUACAGUAGAGGUGGGCGGAAUUCGUGGUGUAGCGGUGAAAUGCUUAGAUAUCACGAAGAACUCCGAUUGCGAAGGCAGCUCACUGAACUGCAACUGACACUGAGGCUCGAAAGUGUGGGUAUCAAACAGGAUUAGAUACCCGUGUAGUC